GGGGAGCUGAACGCUGCGCGCACCAACCCAGGCCCGAUGGUUUGUUGGAGAGACUGGACUUGAGAAGGUACAAUCAGGAACCAGCUUCAUUAUUUUCCAAGCACUGCCUUCAACUAGACUCUUUGGAUCACCUUCCCCAAUUGAGAGGAUUUCUUCGCCAAAUCUCAGACACUUUCAGUUCGCGGGCCUCUCACUGCUGUCGCCUCCCCUGCUACGUAGGACAGGCUCUGGACGCACAGGCCCAGCGGCCACAGCCCACAGGCCCAGCCGCCCCACGGCACACGGGAUCUUCCCGGACUGGGGCACGAACCCACAUCCCCUGCUUUGGCAGGUGGACUCCCAACCACUGUGCC